rnacentral:misc_RNA from 1 species
CAUUCGAUGAGACCUACAUGACCUCUGAAUCCCGACGGCAUGACGGGAGACUCAUUGAGAGACCCUCCUCGGAAGACUCCAAUCGGUCGCGUUGCUGCACCUCCAAUGCAAUCAUCAUGCUACUCUUUCGAAAUGAAGAAGAGCUCCCCGGUGCGUGCACGACGCAGCUCGAAAAGGACAACACAGUAUGCGCCUGCCAGAGCCGCUUCCAUGGCUUUUCGGCCUGAGGAGGAUGAAAGGAGGAGGGAAGAGAGGCAGCUCCUCCUCUGGGAGCGGGAUGAAGGCGCCUAGGGAGUCCCCGUCUCACAUCGCCUACGACGAACUCCGCACCUCGGAGCUCCAGCACCUUGAAGAGAACGUGAGGAAGCUCAUCAGCGUCUCUUCGGCGGCGUGCAGAGAAGCUGGCCAGCGAGGUUGUGCCCGUUCCGGAAUUCCGCUCUGUCUUGGAAGAGGUGUGAGUUUGAGAUGGCCGACUCGCGUGUACCCCCACAGCAGCCCCAGUGAUUGCCUUCCCGCCUCAGACACGGUGGCCACCGCCUUACGGAGCUGCCGCGCCCACAAUGCGACGCCUACACGGCACAGGGCGCACCGAUGGCGCCCGCAUCCCCCCAAGGGUGACCGUGAGCAGAGGGAAGCAGCCGAAGGAGAGCACGCAUGUGCUCCCCACGCCUCGAAUACGCGUCAUCUUGCUCCCGUGCAGGUUACCCGUCUCUCACAGCAUGAAGAGGAGGAGGGGCCAUCCUGCGCGUCCUACAAGCCGUGCCCGAAACCAGCCCAUUGACGCCUACCAGUGGCCAAAGAAGAGCGGAGGGAGCCCCCUUGCACGCGGCACAGGGGAAAGCGAUGCACCUUGCCGAUCUGUGUGGCGAGAUGAGAAGCGAGAACCAGCAACGGAUGCGGUGCAUGGGAAGUACCCCCGACCAGUGCCCCCGCGUGUUCCCAGGAAGCGUCACUUCUCCGCCGCCGGUGACAGACGCGGAUGUCGAGGCCCCUCCCCUCACUGGCAGCAAUCGUUAUGGUGUGCCCAGCGCAGCACCGACCCCUCUCCUUGAAUGGGCGUUCACCGUCGUGGAAGAGAAGAAAGGACGUAUCGGACGGCGGCGCCCUCAUUCUCUGGCCGCGACAAGUCAACAGCUGGCCAGAUGAGCAGCGUUACAACGCGGAGGUGGGUCUGGAUGCGCAGCCAUGGGAGAACUCGUGCUCGACGACUGUGUGUGUGUGGGGGGGGUGACAGAUCUGGCAAAGCCAUCUUUUCCAGGUGCGUCUUUCCGUGCAUCUGCGGCCGCUCUUGAGUCUGCGAACCAGGGACCGCUCCGUGCAUCUGCGAAGAGCGCACCCGAAUGAGCUUGGCUGUUGGCCCAGAGGAUGAUGUGGGUGGCGACAGCAACAUCGGCCUGCCAUCCUAUGUGUGCCACGCGACCCGCCUCCGACAUUCACGUGAAGGUCUGCAUCGACAGCAUCCAACGGACGGGUGGUCGACAGGCGGUGGAGACAGCUCUGCAGGGGCCCCGAAUCGCCGCGGAAAAGCUUAGCGCCACCUCGAAUGACGACGAGACUGGCACCUGCAACAUGUCUGCGUUGGCUGGCGUGGCGCUUGACCACAACUUGGGAACGCUCUGCGGUGGAAAACAGACGUGCACCCAGCUGAGCACCGAUUCGUUCAAGCAGUUGACAAGGAGGAAGAGCUCGGACGGCUCAUGGAUCGGCUUUGGUGUGCCGCUCGAGUCGUGCACAUGCCCCAUCACAAAUUUCGUCUUUUCCUCGCGGCGACGCGCCGGCUGUGCUCGAAAACGGUCACGAGGCCUCCACUGCGGUUCCUCGUGGGCGGAUCUGCCUCAGAGCGCCCAAAGCGAACUCCGCCUGUGGCGCCAACGGGCAGCACCGAAUAUAAACCACGUCGCGCCGCACGUCUUUCGGCGUCUGCCGCAGAGCACGGCCUUCACAUAGGCUGCAACCCCAGGAGGACGGUGAGGGGGGGGUGCGCGGUACGCAUGCAUCCGCAUACGAGGCAGAUGGUCGUCACCGGUAGCCUCUGAGGGGAAGGGGAGGGGCGCCAGGCGCAAAUAGCAUCAACUCGGCUGGGCUCUGCGCGGUUUGCUGUGCCUUGUAGGCAUAAACAACAUUUCCAAAGAAAGCGAAGAACAGCAGCAGCACCACACCUUCCCAAAGACAGCACGCCGGCCCUCUCUGCCCUCCGUAAAGGCUGCGCACGCGGCCAUGCGAUUCAUGCUGCAAUGCAUGCACGGAUAACUUUUUUUCCCAUACGCGGCCACUUCUGAAAAACAGCAAGUUGGCCGCUAAUCCUGCAGGCCGCCGGAACCGUGACUCUGCGUACCACGCGUGACGGGGUCUACCUAGCAACAUGGC